rnacentral:rRNA from 1 species
AUGAACGCUGGCGGCGUGUCUAAGGCAUGCAAGUCAAACGGGCUCGCAAGAGUACCGUGGCAAACGGGUGCGUAACACAUUGGUAACCUACCUCCGAGACGGUCAUAACCCGGCGAAAGCCGGGCUAAUAGCCGAUACAUUCCCGACCCACAUGGGUUGGGACGAAAGUCGCAAGACACUUGGAGAGGGGCCUAUGGUCUAUCAGCUAGUUGGUGCGGUAAUGGCGCACCAAGGCUACGACGGAUAGCGGGUGUGAGAGCACGACCCGCCUCAGGGGGACUGAGACACUGCCCCCACUCCUACGGGAGGCUGCAGUCAAGAAUAUUCCACAAUGGGCGAAAGCCUGAUGGAGCGACGCCGCGUGGAGGAAGAAGGCCUUCGGGUUGUAAACUCCUUUUAUUUGGGACGAAUUCUGACGGUACCAAAUGAAUAAGAGGUUCCUAACUCUGU